AGCCCAUCCGAGGGGUGCGAUCUUCUUUGCGAAGAUGCUGAGAUGGCUCUGGCCGAACCCUUGAACCUGAUCCGGGUCAUGCCGGCGUAGGAACGGAGUUUGGUAUUGAG
rnacentral:ncRNA from 2 species